AUGAUGGGGGAGCUGCUCCAGGUGUGUUGCCAGGUGUCUGCCCACCUGAGUGAAGUCGAGGGGUCAGGGGCACUCCUCGCUCAGCUAGGGGAUCUGCAGGAGGAGUGGAGGCUUUUGGAGGGGGCUGGGAAUAGAAGCCUGAGGCAUGCCUCAAUUGGUUCUUCUCAGUCCUCUAUCCUUCUACAAAAGGCUGAGCAGCUGCAUUGCAAGCUUGAGACUCUUCAGAAGUCCAUCACCCUCUUACAGUCCUCUCAAUUGCAGCAUGACACUCACAAAGCUUUAGUGCUGACCUUUAUGACUGCUGACUUGAAAGCCUUCAACCAGCAGUACCUACACCUGCUGGGGCAAUCAGAGGAUUUUGCCCAAUUUUCUCUUGGGCAGAAGGAGAAGGAGGAUGUGGAGUGUACUCUUCAGAGCUUGAGCUCCUUACUUGCCUCCACUCAGACGUUGCUCUCUGCUCAGUCAUACUCUAUAGCAAAACCCUCCUUGGCUAAAAUCAUGAAGCAAAUGCAGGACUUGAUUAUCUGGGCCAAGCAUGCAGAAAACCACAUCGCAACAGGUGAAAAGGUAGCCCUCUUCCCUGAAGAGGUCCGUCUCCAAAUUGGCAGCAUGAGGAAACUUCAAUCUGAGAUUUUGGCAAGGCAUUCCAGGGUGCACUACAAAGUUGAGGACCUGAAAGAACUGAUUUCGGAUGAAGGGGAAAUUGACAAAGUGCUGUCAUCACUGAAGACCUUGAAGGACCUCUAUGAAACAGUCUCAGAUAACUCUGCUCGUAUUCUGAAGGAAAUGGAAGCUGUUUUGGAGGAAAGAGAGAAGAUGCUGGUCCAGAUCUCAAAAGUGAACACUUGGCUAGCAGUGGCACACCAUGAGAGAGAGGUCACCGCAGAUGUAGAGAAUAUGUCCAAAGACACCAUCCCAGAUCUGGAAAGCAAGCUGCAGUUUCACAUCGGUGCCAUCAAGGAAGCAGAAAGACAGCUGGCUGUCACGGACGCCCUUUUGGAGACCUGCAUGGAGGUUUCUUCGGGGUUGAGUCCAGCAGAGAGCCACUUUCUUGUCAACAGGCUCACAGGCCUCCGGACCGAGGUGGACGGAAUGGUGGCCCACGAGAAAGCAGCCCACUGGGAGCUGGAGGAACUGCUUCACACCCGGACUUCUUCGGCCGAGGAACUGGCGGCUGUCCAGGUGAGCGUGCAACAGAUAUGGGCCGACCUGGAGAGGCAGAGGUUCCCAGUGACAAAGGACUCCCUAUCUGCCAUAGAGCCCUUGACACACAUGCUCCUGGAGCACCAAUGUCAGAUCCAGGAACUCCAGUACUGCCAAGAGGACCAGAAAAGUGCCCUCUUGCAUACCAUUGGCGAACUGCAAGAGAAGGUGAAAACUCUCCACCACCACGCCCUGGAACACGAGAAGUACCUGACCUACCGGCAGCGCAUGGAAUACUCCAGGGAGGUGGCAAAGGAGCGUGCUCAGUGCUCCAAAGACAAGAGAUUCAGCGUGGGGGAAAGGUUCAGUCUUUGCCAGGCUCUCCUGGUGGAACUUCCGCUGGUGAAGACCCAGUGCCAGGAUGCUUCCGACCAGCUCGAGGCCAUCGCCCAAGACCUGCACCUAUCGGAUAGAAUGUUGCUUCUGUCGGAGAGGCAGAGGAUCCAGCAAACUGUUGAAAACCUAGCCUCCUGGGAGCUUGCCAUCACUGACGACGUCAAAAACCUAGAGGGAAAGCUUCUGGAGGGUCUCAGAUUCUGCACCGAGCUUCCUGCCAUGAUGGACCUUCUUCAACAGGUCAGGCAGGAGCUGAUGGAGUCUGACCCGGUGAAGCCAGACGUGAGGGCCAUCAACAUAGCGCUGCGGAGGUGCUGGGUGAUCUGGAGGAACGUAGAGUCUGUCAUGCGGGUGUUGGAAGCUUUGAGGCAGAGAGAGCAAGUGGAGAUGAGCCAGUGUGGGGAGCUGCACACCCUGAGGAAUGACGUUGUGCAGAAGUGCCACGCAUGCAUGGAGAAUUUGUCCCAUGCUCGGGAAGCCCUGAAGGAUUACCACUGGGCUGCCCAAGGAGUGGUAACCUUCCUCCUCGAAGCCGAGGCCAUGUUCCUGGCACCUCCAGGCGGAUUUGUGGACUGCACAGAGGAGCAGUGGCACACCCAAGAGCCCCUAGCCUCCCUGGGGGAGAGCCUCCAGGCGCAAAUCAGCCAUCUCCUGGAGCUGGCACCCCAGCAGGCCUGUCUCUCUUUCCCCCAGAGCGAGCAGCUCCACAUCCAGGUCCUGAGCCACCUUUUGGUGGAGAGGGCCGCACUCGAGGCCCAGGUUGAGCUCAGGACAGAGGCCUUGCAGAGGUGUGCAGACAGACAAAGCCUCCACAAGAAGUGUCAUGAGGAGGUAUGGCAUAUCCUGAAGAAAAACGAAUCAAGGCUCUCUGAGUGUGCUGCCCAGGAAGUGACAUCCUACGCCAACUGUGCUGACCAACAGGAUAGAGCCAAGACCCUGUCGGAGGAGGUGCUGUCUAUAGCUGGGAAGCUGGAGGAGCUGAGGGCGGUGUGCCCACUGCGUGGGUGCUGUGUGGGCUCCGAGGGGGCACUGGGUGCCCUCUGGAGGCGCUGGGCGGCACUGCGGCGCGGCAUCAGCCUCCUCCGGACACGCUUGGAGCAGAGAGGGGUGGAGUGGAGGGAGGUCACCAAGAGCGUGAGUCACGUGACUGAACUAUCUUCAGCGAACUGCUCCUUUAAUGGUCAUAAUGUAAUAUAGUAUAUGGUAUAUUACAUAUAAAUACAUACAUUUUUGGGAGAUGCCAUCACCUUUCUUUGCUGGACUACAUGACUUCACCCGGAUGACCACUCCAUUAAAUAGAAGCCUUUUAGUAGGCCCGGCGCAUGAUAAGUAUACAUACGUGUAUUAUAAAGGUGAUCAUGCUUACCAUCAUAACAGCACAUGGCUCAUAACGUUUUUUUGUAUAAGCAAAUGAUAUAUUCAUAAUACCUUACACAUAGUUGAUCCACAAAGUGUAGGGCUUUGGAAAUACCUUGUUUGUUUUUGUACUAAAGUGUGUGUAGUAGUAUUGUACGCCCAUGUGUAAAUAUACAGUGCCUUCGGAAAAUAUACAGACCCCUUGACUUUUUCCACAUUUUGUUACGUUACAGCCUUUUCUAAAAUUGAUUAAAUAAAUAAAAAUCCUCAGCAAUCUACCCACAAUACCCCAUAAUGACAAAGAGAAAACAGGCGUUUUAGAAAUGUUUGCAAAUUGAUUUAAAAAAAAAAGCAUAUUAACAUAAGUAUCCAGACCCUUUGCAAUGAGACUCAAAAUUGAGCUCAGGUGCAUCCUGUUUCCAUUGAUCAUCCUUGAGAUGUUUCUACAACUUGAUUGGAGUCUAUCUAUGGUAAAUUAAAUUGAUUGGACAUGAUUUGUAAAGGCACACACCUGACUAUAUAAUGUCCCACAGUUGACAGUGCAUGUCAGAGCAAAAACAAAGCCAUGAAGUCAAAGGAAUUAUCCGUAGAGCUCCGAGACAGGAUUGUGUCGAGGCACAGAUCUGGGGAAGGGUACCAAAACAUUUCUGCAGCAUUGAAGGUUCCCAUGAACACAGUGGCCUCCAUCAUUCUUAAAUGGAAGAAGUUUGGAACCGCCAAGACUCCUCCUAGAGCUGGCUGCCCGGCCAAACUGAGCAGUCGGGGGAGAAGGGCCUUGUUCAGGGAGGUGACCAAAAACCUGAUGGUCACUCUGACAGAGCUCUAGAGUUCCUCUAUGGAGAUGGGAGAACCUUCCAGAAGGACAACCAUCUCUGCAGCACUCCACCAAUCAGGCCUUUAUGGUAGAGUGGCCAGACGGAAGCCAUGACAGCCCACUUGGAGUUUUCCAAAAGGCACCUAAAGGCUCUCAGACCAUGAGAAACAAGAUUCUCUGAUCUGAUGAAACCAAGAUUGAACUCUUUGGCCUGAAUGCCAAGCGUCACGUCUGGAGGAAACCUGGCACCAUCCCUACGGUGAAGUAUGGUGGUGGCAGCAUCAUGCUGUGAGGAGGUUUUUCAGCUGCAGGGACUGGGAGACUAGUCAGGAUCGAGGCAAAGAUGAACGAAGCAAAGUACAGAGAGAUCCUUACUGAAAACCUGCUCCAGUGCGCUCAGGACCUCAGACUGGGGCGAAGGUUCACCUUCCAACAGGACAACGACCCUAAGCACACAGUCAAGACAACGCAGGAGUAGUUUCGGGACAAGUCUCUGAAUGUCCUUGAGGGGCCCAGCCACAGCCUGGACUUGAACCCGAUCUAACAUCUCUGGAGGGACCUGAAAAUAGCUGUGCAGCGACGCUCCCCAUCCAACUUGACAGAGCUUAAGAGGAUCUACAGAGAAGAAUGGGAGAAACUCCCCAAAUACAGGUGUGCCAAACUUGUAGCGUCAUACUCAAGAAGAAUCAAGGCUGUAAUCGCUGCCAAAGGUGCUUCCAGAAAGUACUGAGUAAAGGGCCAGAAUACUUAUGUAAAUGUGAUAUUUUUUUUUUUUUUUUUAAUACAAUUUUAUAAAAAUUACCUGUUUUUGCUUUGUCUUUAUGGGCUAUUGUGUGUAGAUUGAUGAAACAAUUUUAGAAUAAGGCUGUAAUGUAACAAAAUGUGGAAAAAUUCAAGGGGUCUGAAUAUUUUCCGAAGGCACUGUAUGUGUUUGUUGUUGUGUGUCCUUUGGGUGUCACAGAUGGCUCAAUGCAGCAGUGCUCUGGACAAGCUGCAGGGUGAGCUGUCGGACCCCACUGCAGUAAGCUCCACUCAGGGGGCCCCGAUGGUUCUGCUAGUGCAGACGGAGCAGCACCAGGCUGGACUAGAGCGGGAGCAGCGAAUCCUGGCGUCCCUGGAGCUCCGCCUCUCCCAGCUCCUGGGUGUGUCCAGCCCUCAGGAGGCUGCUAGCCCUGUCCCAGUCUGCCAACAGCUGAGGGACAUGCAGGAGUGCUUUAGGAGGUAAGAAUGAUACAGUACUCUCUUUGAAAGACAAAUACUCUGUAAUUAGGUGCCCUUUCCAUUUCCCUCUCACUUUGUCUCUAUUGCUCUCUUUCUCUAUCUUCCCAAACUCACCCACACAAUUCACAUGGCACACAUGCUUGCACUCACGCACACACACCUCAGGAACAGAAAAGCACAAUGCAGAAAAAGCUUAAAUGUUUUUCCUUUUUCUUUUUACAUAAACAUUACAUGUCACAAGAACCCUGGAGCCUUUGCCAAAGGUGUGCAAACAAUCAUAUUGACACUGUUUAUUAACACUGUUUAUUGACAAAUGUUGACAGUAGAUGUACUAUUACACACCAUGAGUGUCAAUAUGAUUCUUGGAAACAUUUAAGCACAUACACGUAGUUCGAUAUUAAUAUUAAAACCAGUUGAGCUGACAGCCAUUUUAUACUGUUUCGCUAUGGCUGUAGUCAUCAAUCUAACAAGAGGGCAAUAUUUUAUUAAUUUAGUAGU
rnacentral:lncRNA from 8 species